rnacentral:pre_miRNA from 12 species
CGCCCUGGCACCCGCCCGGCCCGGUGUGGCAGCUGGUGUUGUGAAUCAGGCCGUCGCCAGUCUGAGAACGGCUACUUCACAACACCAGGGUCACCCCCUGCCAAAGUCGUCGACCGGGAGC